rnacentral:rRNA from 1 species
UACGUAGGGCGCAAGCGUUGUCCGGAAUUAUUGGGCGUAAAGAGCUCGUAGGCGGUUUGUCGCGUCGGAUGUGAAAGCCCGGGGCUUAACUCCGGGUCUGCAUUCGAUACGGGCAGGCUAGAGUUCGGUAGGGGAGAUCGGAAUUCCUGGUGUAGCGGUGAAAUGCGCAGAUAUCAGGAGGAACACCGGCGGCGAAGGCGGCGCUCUGGGCCGGUACUGACACUGAGGAGCGAAAGCGUGGGUAGCAAACAGG